AACAUGGUCUCCUGUCUGACGUUGUUCUUCCUUUCAAGUUUGAAAACAUGUCCCCUCACGAGUACCUACGUCAGCCUGACGUUGCAGCAUAUCUGGUGUUUUAUUAGUCGGAUUGUUAGUUGUGUCUGUUGCUUUUGCAAGAAGUUGACUUUUAUAUUUGUACGUUAUUAAAUAUGCCACUAUUAAAUAGUGCCAAAUCCCUUUCUAGGUUAUGUUUAGACAAUAUCAAAACAUAUUUUGAAAGCAGUAAUGAUAGUGUUGCUGACUUUUUAAAAAUACAAAAUUUUAAGAAGCAAAGUGAAAAGUGCAUCAUUGCUGAGGAUAUAGAAAUCGGUGACAAUCCAUUUCAUUAUUUGCCUACAGUUCUCUUGGAGGAAAUCAUCAAGGUUCUCAGUCAUGAUUUGAAAAAGCCCAUGAUGAAAACAAUCCUUAUGCAUCUGAAAACUCCUCAAAUUACAACUUUGAAGUUGUCUUAUUAUGAAGAAGAUUACUUGAAGCAUUUUCCGAAAUUCAGAAAAUUGGAAAAGCUAAACAUUUAAUUGAACUCUUCACUGGGAUACAGUUGUUUCAAAUUGAUUGGAACUUAUUGCAAAAGUUUAAGAGAGUUAAAUGCUUCUGGAUGCCAUGGUAUGACAGAUUCUGCAAUUCAGUGGUUGUGUGUCGAGGCUAAAAACCAAAGAAUGGAAAAUGAAACACUCGGACAAUGCAAAAGGAUUGAAAAAUUAAGAAUUACGCGCACUCAAGUCACAGUAAAAGGAGUACAAUUGGCUCUUAAACAUUUGCCAGCUUUGAAGAUCCUACACCAUGAAGCUACAGUUACAGCUUUAGCGAAUAUGACGACAUUUUCAUACAAAAAUGCGCAAGUUUUUCGGAAAUACCCCUUGUUAGCGCUAUUCAUAGCCCUUGGGACGCCGUACACAAGCGGUAGCCUUAACCAAGCUGUUUCAAUGUGUCCUCGUAUCGACAAUAUCAGAAUAUGCGCUAAUAACGAAGGUUUGACUGACAACGACCUUUUUUGCUUGAAGUCGAUUAAAACGCUCCGUGAACUUGCCAUUUUUCUAGUGCCUAAUGUC